UACGUAGGGACCAAGCGUUGUUCGGAUUUACUGGGCGUAAAGGGCGCGUAGGCGGCUUAACAAGUCACUUGUGAAAUCUCCGGGCUUAACUCGGAACGGCCAAGUGAAACUGUCAAGCUAGAGUGCAGAAGGGGCAAUCGGAAUUCUUGGUGUAGCGGUGAAAUGCGUAGAUAUCAAGAGGAACACCUGAGGUGAAGACGGGUGGCUGGGCUGACACUGACGCUGAGGCGCGAAAGCCAGGGGAGCAAACGGG
rnacentral:rRNA from 1 species